rnacentral:rRNA from 1 species
AGAGUUUGAUCCUGGCUCAGGACGAACGCUGGCGGCGCGCCUAACACAUGCAAGUCGAACGAGCGAGAGAGAGCUUGCUUUCUCGAGCGAGUGGCGAACGGGUGAGUAACGCGUGAGGAACCUGCCUCAAAGAGGGGGACAACAGUUGGAAACGACUGCUAAUACCGCAUAAGCCCACGGGUCGGCAUCGACCAGAGGGAAAAGGAGCAAUCCGCUUUGAGAUGGCCUCGCGUCCGAUUAGCUAGUUGGUGAGGUAACGGCCCACCAAGGCGACGAUCGGUAGCCGGACUGAGAGGUUGAACGGCCACAUUGGGACUGAGACACGGCCCAGAAUCCUACGGGAGCA